CUUAACGGCACACAGACUCAUUAAAGAUAAAACCGUUCUCUCUCAUUCCCCAAAAUAAGGAAGAAAAAGAAAUUUUCAGAGCGCAAAUAUCGUUCACUCAACUCGGUAUUGUCAAAUUCGGAAAAUGACAUGCCAAAUGAUACAUUCGUGGAGGUUUAACGAGCUAGUGGGUGCUUUUCUGGAUCUUGCAAUAGCCUAUCUUUUACUUUGUGCUGCAGCUGUUGCCUUUUUUACCUCCAAAUUUGUGAGUUUGUUUGGAUUGUGUCUGCCAUGCCCUUGUGAUGGGUUUUUUGGGACCCCCAGGAAAAGUCACUGCUUUCAAAGGCAAUUCGCAGAUGCCCCAUGUGAGAAAAUCUCUGCAGUUCAAUGGGCAGUGAAGAGCAAGUUCCCUUUUGAUGUACUAUGGUCUGAAGACUCAAAUAUCAAUUCUAAGUCCAAGUUCGUAAAUGAGACAUAUUAUGAGAAUGGGCAUUUUGAGUUUGAAGGUGAAGCGUCAUGUAGCUCAUUGUCAGAAAGGAGGUUGCUAGAUAUGGUUGGGAGUGAUUCAGUUGCCGAGAAUGAACAGAGUGUUGAGUUUGGUGUAGCAAACUUGGAAGCUGGGAAGGAACAACAUUUUGAACUUAAGCCAAAGAAGGUUUCGGGUCGAAGGCCGAGA